rnacentral:rRNA from 1 species
CUGUCGUCAGCUCGUGUCGUGAGAUGUUGGGUUAAGUCCCGCAACGAGCGCAACCCUUGCCAUUAGUUGCUACGAAAGGGCACUCUAAUGGGACUGCCGGUGACAAACCGGAGGAAGGUGGGGAUGACGUCAAGUCCUCAUGGCCCUUAUAGGUGGGGCUACGCACGUCAUACAAUGGCUGGUACAGAGGGUUGCCAACCCGCGAGGGGGAGCCAAUCCCAUAAAGCCAGUCGUAGUCCGGAUCGCAGUCUGCAACUCGACUGCGUGAAGUCGGAAUCGCUAGUAAUCGCGGAUCAGAAUGUCGCGGUGAAUACGUUCCCGGGUCUUGUACACACCGCCCGUCACACCAUGGGAGCGGGUUCUGCCAGAAGUAGUUAGCCUAACCGCAAGGAGGGCGAUUACCACGGCAGGGUUCGUGACUGGGGUGAAGUCGU